AAUAUUGCGCAAUGGGGGAAACCCUGACGCAGCAACGCCGCGUGAGUGAAGAAGGUCUNCGGAUCNUNAAACUCUGUCAUUGGGGNCGAAAAAGAUGACGGUACCCAAUGAGGAAGCCCCGGCUAACUACGUGCCAGCAGCCGCGGUAAUACGUAGGGGGCAAGCGUUGUCCGGAAUUACUGGGCGUAAAGGGUGCGUAGGCGGCCGAUCAAGUCAGGUGUGAAAUACCAGGGCUUAACCUUGGGGGUGCAUUUGAAACUGGUUGGCUUGAGUGCAGGAGAGGAAAGUGGAAUUCCUAGUGUAGCGGUGAAAUGCGUAGAGAUUAGGAGGAACACCAGUGGCGAAGGCGACUUUCUGGACUGUAACUGACGCUGAGGCACGAAAGCGUGGGGAGCGAACAGG
rnacentral:rRNA from 1 species